rnacentral:lncRNA from 1 species
GAAUCAUCUUUUGAACCAUCUGUAUAAAUAGGAAAAUGAUCUGGAAUUUGAAAUGUGACAUAGUUCUGGUGAAUAUAGCUAUUUGAGAGGAGGUAAUCAAAUUUGAUCUAAUGGUUAAAACAAAUUUUAGUAAAGAUAGACACUUUGAAAGAAAAUAACUAUUUGUGAUAUCCAGGUCGGAUUUAAUAUUCAACAGAAUUUGGAAUACACAAAGAAAAAUCGAAGGAAUAUAAUUAUUGGUGAUUAAGUUGAUUGUGAUCAUUAAAAUUCAAAUCGCAUUUAAUUUUCAACACAAUAUGGAAUAUUCAUACAUAAAGUGGAGGUAAAUUAUUAUUGAUGAAUAAUCACUGGUUAAUGCAUAGCAUUUCUAAAGGAAUACAAUUAUCGGAAACUUGAUGUCACGAACAAAUAUAACAUGAAUCUGUCUUGGAAACCACUUGGAAAUGCAAUAAUAAAUAUAAUAUUUGGUACAAACGAGUAGAAAUAAGUCCAAGCAAAUAUCUUUCAUGUUCCAAGCAAGUGCAUUGUUGAUUGAAAAUUCAGUUUACUUUCCAGAAUGAAAAACGCAUAACGGUGUCCAACUAGGCUAUUUGGCUAAAAAAUAAAUAUGUUGGUUAAUCAACCAACGGAUUAUUGUUUUAAUACAAUAGUAAUAAAUAUAGUGUAUUCAAACUAAAUUCAGUUUCGAACACAGUUUGGAAUAUACAUUGAUACAGAACGGGAAUAAAACAAAAUGAUGAGAUUCGAAGUGCAUUUCAUUUGCACUUUGAUAUGAAUAUAUAUAUAAAGUAGUAAGGAUUACUUUUAUGCAUAUAUAUUAAAAUCAUAUUUAUUUGUUUUUUCAAAAUAAUUGAAAUUUACAAGUAUAUAUUGUUUUUGCUGUAUCUAUCUGUGUUGUAUUUAUAUGACAUUCGACUUUCUUUUCAAAGUUAUUUUACUUCGACUGUUUUAGUUGUUUGACAAACACUCUGAUAUAAUGAAAAUUAAUUAACCUGCAAAGCAAACCUUUUCUUUAAACAUGAUAAAUAUCUACUGCUAUUUUUAGCUCUAAGUUCACAUGUUUUCAUUUUGCUAUGUCUUUUAAAUGUUAUUGUUCAUUUAUCGGCACAUGUCACUAUAGUCGAAAAAUAUUUGUUUCAUUAAUUUGUAGCAACUAUUUACCUUUCAAAUAUCAGCGACAGGCAUCAUUUUCUUGUAUAUAUAUUUACAGUAAAGUCAGAUUUGAGAACCACUUGCAUUAUGUUUUGUAGAAAUGUAAAUAAGUUUUAAGGUGUCAACACUUUUGGCGUGCUGUUGGGGUCGUCUUGUAGUGUAAGAUAACACGCUUACUUCAGUAAGAAUUUUAGGUUCAAUUCCUAGCAGGAAGCCAUAGCACAAAGAAUAAGUAAAUAUUUAUUUAUACAUGUAAAAACUACGAACUAACGCAUUAUUAGCUAAAGAUACAGGUAUCUUUAA